rnacentral:rRNA from 1 species
UGCGGGGGGGGCAAGCGUUGUUCGGAAUUACUGGGCGUAAAGGGCUCGUAGGCGGCCAACUAAGUCAGACGUGAAAUCCCUCGGCUUAACCGGGGAACUGCGUCUGAUACUGGAUGGCUAGAGUUUGGGAGAGGGAUGCGGAAUUCCAGGUGUAGCGGUGAAAUGCGUAGAUAUCGUAAGGAAGACCAGUGGCGAAGGCGGGUCUCUGGACAGUUCCUGACGCUGAGGCACGAAGGCCAGGGGAGCAAACGGG